rnacentral:misc_RNA from 1 species
GAUGAAGAACGCAGCGAAAUGCGAUAAGUAAUGUGAAUUGCAGAAUUCAGUGAAUCAUCGAAUCUUUGAACGCACAUUGCGCCCCUUGGUAUUCCGGGGGGCAUGCCUGUUCGAGCGUCAUUAUAACCCUCAAGCCUAGCUUGGUGUUGGAGCAUGCUAUCUAGCAGCUCUUAAAAUCAGUGGCAGUGCCCUUCGGCUCUAAGCGUAGUAACUUCUCUCGCUAUGGAAACCGGAUGGUACGCGCCAAAACCCCCAACUUUCUAUGGUUGACCUCGAAUCAGGUAGGGAUACCCGCUGAACUUAAGCAUAUCAAUAAGCGGAGGA